rnacentral:rRNA from 1 species
GACGAACGCUGGCGGCGUGCUUAACACAUGCAAGUCGAACGGAAAGGCCCUGCUUUUGUGGGGUGCUCGAGUGGCGAACGGGUGAGUAACACGUGAGUAACCUGCCCUUGACUUUGGGAUAACUUCAGGAAACUGGGGCUAAUACCGGAUAGGAGCUCCUGCUGCAUGGUGGGGGUUGGAAAGUUUCGGCGGUUGGGGAUGGACUCGCGGCUUAUCAGCUUGUUGGUGGGGUAGGGGCUUACCAAGGCUUUGACGGGUAGCCGGCCUGAGAGGGUGACCGGCCACAUUGGGACUAAGAUACGGCCCAGACUCCUACGGGAGGCAGCAGUGGGGAAUAUUGCACAAUGGGCGGAAGCCUGAUGCAGCAACGCCGCGUGCGGGAUGACGGCCUUCGGGUUGUAAACCGCUUUCGCCUGUGACGAAGCGUGAGUGACGGUAAUGGGUAAAGAAGCACCGGCUAACUACGUG